AGUGAACGCUGGCGGUAGGCCUAACACAUGCAAGUCGAACGGCAGCACAGUAAGAGCUUGCUCUUACGGGUGGCGAGUGGCGGACGGGUGAGGAAUACAUCGGAAUCUACUUUUUCGUGGGGGAUAACGUAGGGAAACUUACGCUAAUACCGCAUACGACCUACGGGUGAAAGCAGGGGAUCUUCGGACCUUGCGCGAUUGAAUGAGCCGAUGUCGGAUUAGCUAGUUGGCGGGGUAAAGGCCCACCAAGGCGACGAUCCGUAGCUGGUCUGAGAGGAUGAUCAGCCACACUGGAACUGAGACACGGUCCAGAGUCCUACGGGAGGCAGCAGUGGGGAAUAUUGGACAAUGGGCGCAAGCCUGAUCCAGCCAUACCGCGUGGGUUAAGAAGGCCUUCGGGUUGUAAAGCCCUUUUGUUGGGAAAGAAAAGCAGCAGGUUAAUACCCCGCUGUUCUGACGGUACCCAAAGAAUAAGCACCGGCUAACUUCGUG
rnacentral:rRNA from 1 species